AGAGGCCUGCCUCUUUUCUUGUUGUCUACAUCCUUGUCUUUUUGCGCACCCUUGUUUCCUCGGUAGGCUUGCCUGCCGGCUGGACAUCAUUAUACCCUUUUAAUUUUCAAUCAGCGUCUAAAAAACACAAUAAUUACAACUUUCAACAACGGAUCUCUUGGUUCUGGCAUCGAUGAAGAACGCAGCGAAAUGCGAUAAGUAGUGUGAAUUGCAGAAUUCAGUGAAUCAUCGAAUCUUUGAACGCACAUUGCGCCCCUUGGUAUUCCUUGGGGCAUGCUUGUUCGAGCGUCAUUUGUACCCUCAAGCUUUGCUUGGUGUUGGGUGUUUGUCCUUUUCUUGCAAUUGGACUGGCCCUAAAUUCAUUGGCAGCUACAGUAGUAGUGGAAAGCGCAGCACAAUUGCGCCUUCUGCUAGUGCUAUGGGCGUCCAGUAAGCACAAUUAACACUUUUGACCUCGGAUCAAGUAGGGAUACCCGCUGAACUUAAGCAUAUCAAUAAGCGGAGGAA
rnacentral:rRNA from 1 species